rnacentral:rRNA from 1 species
CCUACGGGUGACAGCAGUCGAGAAUCAUUCACAAUGGGGGAAACCCUGAUGCAGCGACGCCGCGUGUGGGAAGACGGUCCUCUGGAUUGUAAACCACUGUCCCCAGGGACGAAGAUGACGGUACCUGGGGGGGAAGCUCCGGCUAACUACGUGCCAGCAGCCGCGGUAAUACGUAGGGAGCGAGCGUUGUCCGGAAUUACUGGGUGUAAAGGGAGCGUAGGCGGGGAUGCAAGUUGGGUGUCAAAACUACCGGCUCAACUGGUAGUCGCACUCAAAACUGCAGCUCUUGAGUGAAGUAGAGGCAGGCGGAAUUCCUAGUGUAGCGGUGAAAUGCGUAGAUAUUAGGAGGAACACCAGUGGCGAAGGCGGCCUGCUGGGCUUUUACUGACGCUGAGGCUCGAAAGUGUGGGGAGCAAACAGGAUUAGAUACCCGAGUAGUC